GACGUAGGGUGCGAGGGUUGUCCGGAUUUAUUGGGCGUAAAGAGCUCGUAGGCGGCUUGUCGCGUCGACCGUGAAAACUUGGGGCUCAACCCCAAGCCUGCGGUCGAUACGGGCAGGCUAGAGUUCGGUAGGGGAGACUGGAAUUCCUGGUGUAGCGGUGAAAUGCGCAGAUAUCAGGAAGAACACCCGUGGCGAAGGCGGUUCUCUGGGACGGUACUGACGCUGAGACGCGAAAGCGUGGGGAGCGAACAGG
rnacentral:rRNA from 1 species